AUGGGAAGGUCCGGGAGGACGUUAGCCGGCUCGGCCUCCAUUGUGCCCCACAUGCAGAGGGUCUUUUCUAGAAAAUGCCUGGCGCUUGGGAAGCGUCCUGGCCCGUGUGUGCAGGGGGAGCCAGGAGGCGCCCGCCUGCAGAGCCUGAAUCUGCGCCGUGCAGCCUGCRGCCACGAGAGAGGCAGGGGAGCAGUUGUGCAUCGGGCCCGGAGACUUUUCCAGCUCCUCUCUGCUUGCUCACGUGCCUGCUGUGGGCUCCCAGGGGGCCAAGCCUGGGGUUGGCUGCGUUUGGGCAGAGCUUGCUGCGGGGAAGCAAAGCAGAAACCUGGGGAAACCCGGGGCCACGGGUGGCUGACGUGCAGAGAGGGCAGCUGGGGGCCUGCUGCUGCGUGCGGCUCAGGGAAAGCACCUGGGACUGGGGCAGUGUCCGGGGCAGCGCGUGGCAGUGCUGGGAACGUGGCUCGUGCCUGUACCGGUGGGGCCUGGGGGCUGGGAUGGUGCUGGGAGGUUGCUCGUGUGCACAGGGUGAGCCGGGGCUUGGCAGCCCUUGGGCACCAUGUGUGCCCAUGGGGCCAUGCUGCCUUUCGUGGUGGGGAGCCUCCAACCCCCGCAUUGGCCGUGGGGCUGGGUGGGAGGCCCGGCUUCGCGCCUCAGCGCUGCUCCUGCCCCGCAGGCUCCGCUUCUCGCACUGCCAUCGCUGCAGGCUCUGUGCCAUGCCGCUCCCCAGGAGGCCCCAGCGGCCGGGCUUGGCAGCGGCCCGCAGGCUGGCCCGAGGCCCUGGGCUGCUUGCCAACACCCUCGGGUCCUAAUUGUGCUCCUGCUGGGGGUGCUCGCCCUGCUGCAGCUUGCCUGCUGCCAGGGCUCUCCCGGGGGCCCUGCUGUGGCAGUGCCCCGUCCCCGUGUCCCCCAGGCACUGCUGACCCGUGUGCGUGUCCCUUGCGGUUACCCCUGCCUCGUCCUAGCAGCUUGUCCACRAGAGGGCUGAGGACAGGGAGCGGGGCUGGGGACUGGGGUGCGCAGAGAGGGUGGGUGUCCCCCCUGCUGCCGUACUGCGGGUCUGCCCUGACACUGGCCGGACCAGAGGGCCAGCAAGGGCAGGACAGUUUGGCACGGCCAGGGCUCUCCGUGAUCCUCCGUCCACGUUUCCAGCAGCCGGCUCUGGCCUGGCUCCAGGUGUCAUGUGUGAGAUAA
rnacentral:lncRNA from 1 species